GCCAGGAGUUCGAGACCAGCCUGGGCAACAUAAUGAGGUUCCAUAACUACAAGAAAUUACAAAAAAAAAUAAAAAGAACAAAAGGCCUCAGCGGAAAUGGCAAGAGAUUUGGGCAGGUCCCAGGACCCUGGGAUAGGGAGGGAGGUUGGCAGGGCUGAUGAAUCCUGCCCUUCUUGGGUUGACCCCUCUGGGCACAUAGACCAUGACCCUGGGCCUCCCUUCACCUCCAGGAGCUCCUUGGCGAAACUGCAGGGCAGCAGCACACGGGUCGUACAGCUGGAAUGACCAGGUGCACGCCCCUCCGGCCCCUGCUCCAUGCUGUCCCAACCUUGGGGAGCCCAGGGGGCAAUUAGAGCUCAGCAGGGUCCUGGCUCCCCAGGGAAGCAGCACGUCUGUCUCGCUGAGCACCUCCUCCUCCUCGCACAGGUGGUCACGGACCUCAGGCUGUGGAUUCGGCAGACCUGCUCCAUGUUCUCGGGCCUCCUCUGGGAGUUCAUCAGGACCUUGGUGGAUGCGGAACAUGACAUCCUCUUCUGGGGGCACACCCACCUGCUGAGGACCCAGCCCACUGGAGACACUGGAUUCUGAGCCAUGCCAUGGUGCUGACCCGAGACUCUGAACGGCUGCUGGAGGUGCGGAAGCAGAUCGAUGUCCUGCCCUUGGGAGGUGGGUGAGGCUCCAGUACCCUGAGGGCCUGGUUGGGGUGGCUGCUGCAUAGCCUUAGGGAUUGACAGACAAGCUGGGAAGGGCAGAGUGGGACAGAAAGCCGAGUUAUUCGCUCAGAGGGGGACCCUGCAUGUAGCCCCUGCUCUCACUAAGAUGGGGACGAUUAAGCUGGUGAAUGUGUCUGAGCAGGGCCAGAGCUCUCCAGAGAGGCUCCUGGCGAGCCCAGCCCACUGCCCUCAGCCUGAUACAUGGGGAUGUGUGUUAGGAGACAAGUGUCCUGCACCCAAGGCGACUCAGUGCUUGAAGAUAAGUGUUCUGGGGACACUUGGGGACAAGUGUUGUGCACCUGUGGCAACUGAGCCAGGGAAGGGGCUGAGUUUCAGGAUGUUGCCCUGGAAAUCAGGACUUGGUUCUGUGUAUCUGUGUGUGUGUGUGUGUGUGUGUAUGUAUGUGUGUGUCAGGGAUGCCUGCUAGGAGCCCUGGUCAUCACGAAUCCCUGUCCCUGCAGUGGUGCCAUUGCGGGCAAUCCCCUGGGUGUGGACCAAG
rnacentral:lncRNA from 13 species